GAAAUGCGAUAAGUAGUGUGAAUUGCAGCAUUCAGUGAAUCAUCGAAUCUUUGAACGCACCUUGCGCUCCUUGGUAUUCCUUGGAGCAUGCCUGUUUGAGUAUCAUGAAAUCUUCAAAGUAAAUCUUUUGUUAACUCAAUUGGUUUCUACUUUGGUAUUGGAGGUCUUUGCAGCUUCACACCUGCUCCUCUUUGUUCAUUAGCUGGAUCUCAGUGUUAUGCUUGGUUCCACUCGGCGUGAUAAGUUAUCUAUCGCUGAGGACACUGUAAAAGGUGGCCAAGGUAAAUGCAGAUGAACCGCUUCUAAUAGUCCAUUGACUUGGACAAUACUUUUAUGAUCUGAUCUCAAAUCAGGUAGGACUACCCGCUGAACUUAAGC
rnacentral:misc_RNA from 1 species